rnacentral:rRNA from 1 species
AUUGAACGCUGGCGGCAUGCCUAACACAUGCAAGUCGCACGCGAAAGAGGGGCAACCCUUGAGUAGAGUGGCGGACGGGUGAGUAACGCGUAGGAAUAUACCUGGUAGUGGGGGACAACCCGGUGAAAACCGGGCUAAUACCGCAUACGAUCCACGGAUGAAAGCAGGGGACCGCAAGGCCUUGCGCUAUCAGAUUAGCCUGCGUCGGAUUAGCUAGUUGGUGAGGUAAUGGCUCACCAAGGCAACGAUCCGUAGCUGGUUUGAGAGAACGACCAGCCACGCUGGGACUGAGGCACGGCCCAGACUCCUACGGGAGGCAGCAGUGGGGAAUAUUGGACAAUGGGGGCAACCCUGAUCCAGCAAUGCCGCGUGUGUGAAGAAGGCCUUCGGGUUGUAAAGCACUUUCGGUGGGGACAAACGUGGCGAGGCUAACAUCCUCGUCCUUGAUGGUACCCAAAGAAGAAGCACCGGCUAACUCUGUGCCAGCAGCCGCGGUAA